UUCUUAUUGGAUGAUGACUGUCAUGUAUCAUGUUCUGAUUGAAUGUCAACUCCAUAAAAGAUAAAAUGUAUUAUUGUUUUCAUAAAAGAUGAAACUUUUAGACCGUUUUAAUAA
rnacentral:pre_miRNA from 1 species